AGUAGAACGCUGAAGGAGGAGCUUGCUUCUCUGGAUGAGUUGCGAACGGGUGAGUAACGCGUAGGUAACCUGCCUGGUAGCGGGGGAUAACUAUUGAAACGAUAGCUAAUACCGCAUAAGAGUAGAUGUUGCAUGACAUUUACUUAAAAGGUGCAAUUGCAUCACUACCAGAUGGACCUGCGUUGUAUUAGCUAGUUGGUGGGGUAACGGCUCACCAAGGCGACGAUACAUAGCCGACCUGAGAGGGUGAUCGGCCACACUGGGACUGAGACACGGCCCAGACUCCUACGGGAGGCAGCAGUAGGGAAUCUUCGGCAAUGGACGGAAGUCUGACCGAGCAACGCCGCGUGAGUGAAGAAGGUUUUCGGAUCGUAAAGCUCUGUUGUAAGAGAAGAACGAGUGUGAGAGUGGAAAGUUCACACUGUGACGGUAUCUUACCAGAAAGGGACGGCUAACUACGUGCCAGCAGCCGCGGUAAUACGUAGGUCCCGAGCGUUGUCCGGAUUUAUUGGGCGUAAAGCGAGCGCAGGCGGUUAGAUAAGUCUGAAGUUAAAGGCUGUGGCUUAACCAUAGUACGCUUUGGAAACUGUUUAACUUGAGUGCAAGAGGGGAGAGUGGAAUUCCAUGUGUAGCGGUGAAAUGCGUAGAUAUAUGGAGGAACACCGGUGGCGAAAGCGGCUCUCUGGCUUGUAACUGACGCUGAGGCUCGAAAGCGCGGGGAGCAAACAGGAUUAGAUANCCUGGUAGUCCACGCCGUAAACGAUGAGUGCUAGGUGUUAGACCCUUUC
rnacentral:rRNA from 1 species